rnacentral:rRNA from 1 species
UACAGAGGGGGCAAGCGUUGUUCGGAAUUACUGGGCGUAAAGGGCGCGUAGGCGGCCUUCUAAGUCGAACGUGAAAUCCCCGGGCUCAACCCGGGAACUGCGUCCGAUACUGGAAGGCUUGAAUCCGGGAGAGGGAUGCGGAAUUCCAGGUGUAGCGGUGAAAUGCGUAGAUAUCUGGAGGAACACCGGUGGCGAAGGCGGCAUCCUGGACCAACACUGACACUGAGGAGCGAAAGCCAGGGGAGCAAACGGGAGUUAG